rnacentral:piRNA from 1 species
GAAUAAGUAUGGUGAUAUGAGUGGA